UACGAAGGGGGCUAGCGUUGCUCGGAAUCACUGGGCGUAAAGCGCACGUAGGCGGAUUUCUAAGUCAGGGGUGAAAUCCUGGAGCUCAACUCCAGAACUGCCUUUGAUACUGAAGAUCUUGAGUCCGGGAGAGGUGAGUGGAACUGCGAGUGUAGAGGUGAAAUUCGUAGAUAUUCGUAAGAACACCAGUGGCGAAGGCGGCUCACUGGCCCGGUACUGACGCUGAGGCACGCAAGCGUGGGGAGCAAACAGG
rnacentral:rRNA from 1 species